UACGUAGGGUGCAAGCGUUAAUCGGAAUUACUGGGCGUAAAGGGCGCGUAGGCGGCCACCGCAAGUCGGUUGUGAAAUCUCCGGGCUUAACCCGGAAAGGUCAAUCGAUACUGCGGGGCUAGAGUGCAGAAGGGGCAACUGGAAUUCUCGGUGUAGCGGUGAAAUGCGCAGAUAUCAGGAGGAACACCCGUAGCGAAGGCGGCACUCUGGGCCGGAACUGACGCUGAGGCACGAAAGCGUGGGGAGCAAACAGG
rnacentral:rRNA from 1 species